GAACCCUUGAUUGGGACAGCAUUUUUCUAGGUGCUGUGGACUCCAAGAGUAAGAGACAAUCCCUGUCCUAAAGAUUGUAACCAUUCAGUUAUGCAAGAUGGGUAAGAAGAGGAAGAAAGGACAUUCCCUUUGUGGUCCAGUGCCUUCCCUAGCUGGCUCCCAGUGUCCAGAAGUUACCUUCUACACACUCCAUGUACCUUCUACACUGCUUCCUAUCUGCUGUGUUGUCUUUCCAACAGACACCUGAUGAGCUACUCUCCAGUUGAGCAGCCAUUCAAGCAGAGACGCAUAGGAUGCACAAGACCAGAGAGGGAGUAUGUCUCUCAUUAAUUACUGUGUGAAGUCAGCUGCAGUUUAGUUUGCCAUUUUACAGUUUCUCCUACUUUAGUAAUCCCCAUUUUGUCUCUGGCAAGCC